rnacentral:rRNA from 1 species
GACGAACGCUGGCGGCGUGCUUAACACAUGCAAGUCGAACGGAAAGGCCCUGCUUGCAGGGUACUCGAGUGGCGAACGGGUGAGUAACACGUGGUUGAUCUGCCCUGCACUUCGGGAUAAGCCUGGGAAACUGGGUCUAAUACCGGAUAGGAGCCAUUUUUAGUGUGAUGGUUGGAAAGUUUUUUCGGUGUAGGAUGAGCUCGCGGCCUAUCAGCUUGUUGGUGGGGUAAUGGCCUACCAAGGCGGCGACGGGUAGCCGGCCUGAGAGGGUGGACGGCCACAUUGGGACUGAGAUACGGCCCAGACUCCUACGGGAGGCAGCAGUGGGGAAUAUUGCACAAUGGGCGCAAGCCUGAUGCAGCGACGCCGCGUGGGGGAUGACGGCCUUCGGGUUGUAAACUCCUUUCGCUAGGGACGAAGCUUUUUGUGACGGUACCUAGAUAAGAAGCACCGGCUAACUACGUG